AAAGAUGGUGUCUCAACUGAUAGUGCAAAGACAGAAGCUAUGCGUCAAUGGCCUACUCCUAAGAAUGUUAAGCAGCUGCGAGGGUUCUUAGUUUUAACAGGUUACUACAGGCGUUUUGUCUGGCAUUAUGGGUUAAUUGCUAAGUCCUUACAAAUUUGCUGAAGAAAGAGCAAUUCUUAUGGACUUCUGCUACUCAGCUGGCUUUUGAGGAAUUAAAAAAGGCUAUGUGUACUGCUCCAGUAUUAGCUUUACCAGAUUUUUCGAAGAAGUUUAUUGUGGAAACAUAUGCUUCUGGCGUGGGUUUGGGUGCUGUUCUGAUGCAGGAGAAGAAGCCAAUUGCAUUCUUUAGUUAUGCUCUUACUGAUCGAGAACAGUUAAAGCCUGCGUAUGAGAGGGAAUUAAUGGCGGUGGUGUUGGCAGUCAAGAAGUGGAGACAUUAUCUGGUUGGAAGAAAGUUUGAGGUGCAUACGGAUCAGCGGAGUUUAAAAUUUUUGUUGGAACAGAAGGAGGUCAAUAUGGAGUAUCAACGGUGGUUGGUUCAUCUUUUGGGAUUUGACUUUGAGAUAUUUUACAAGCCGGGGUGUGAGAAUAAGGCUGCGGAUGGGCUUUCUCGGAGCAUGUGUUGCUUGGACGUUUCUGCGAGUACUUUGUUGCUCUCUUUGACAACUCCUACAACUUUACAGCUCCAGGAUUUGUAUAAAGAAAUUGAUGCUGAUCCAGAGUUACAAAGUAUGAUCAAAAGGGUCUUCGAUCGUUCUUUGAUCAACAAUAACUAUCAAGUGAUUGAGGGUCGUCUUUGGUACAAGAGGAGGCUGAUGAUACCUAAGACAUCGACUUUCAUUCCGUUACUAUUGCAUGAGGCGCAUGAUAGUUUGGGUGGUGGUCAUUCUGGAAUUCUGAAGACUCUUAAACGAGUGCAACGUUCAUUCUAUUGGGAAGGAAUAACACGGUCAGUGCAGCGUUAUGUGCAAGAGUGUGUUGUUUGCUAGACACAUAAGUCAUCAACACUGUCUCCUGCUGGUCUUCUUCAACCUCUUCCCUUACCAAUACGUGUGUGGGAUGAGAUUGCAAUGGAUUUUAUUGAGGGCUUGCCUACUUCACAGGGGGUGAAUGUGGUGCUCGUGGUGAUUGAUAGGCUAAGCAAAUAUGCUCAUUUUCUUAGUCUUCGUCAUCCUUUCACUACGGUGGAAGUGGCAAACUGCUUUGUGGAGGGUAUUGUUCGACUGCACGGGUUCCCUAGUAGCAUUGUGUCGGAUAGGGAUCGCAUUUUCCUGAGUUCGUUUUGGAAGGAGGCUUUCCGUUUGGCAGGUACGCAGCUCAAGUACAGUACGGCUUUCCAUCCUCAAACUGAUGGUCAGUCUGAAGUGUUGAACAGCUGUCUCGAAACUUAUAUGCGCUGCUUCGCAUCUGCGCAUCCUCGAACGUGGCGUAAGUUUCUACCUUGGGCGGAGUUCUGGUACAACACGUCAUUUCACACUUCGUUAAAGACUACACCGUUUCAAGUGGUUUAUGGUCGGGAACCUCCGGUAGUGGUCAAGUUUGAGGAGGGGUCUACGAGUAACUUUGAUUUGGAAACGUCUUUGCGUGAACGUGACAGAGUGUUGGCUCUCAUCAAACAUAAUUUGGUGCGCGCUCAAGAUAUGAUGAAGAAGACAGCUGAUAAGCAUAGAAGGGAUGUUUCAUUUGAUGUGGGAACGCUGGUUUAUUUGAAGCUCAGGCCGUAUAGGCAACAGUCUGUUUCUCACCGUGUGUGUCAAAAGCUGGCUGCUAAGUACUUCGGUCCUUACCGUGUGAUUGCUCGUGUGGGGAAAGCAGCAUACAAGUUGGAUCUACCCUCAGCUUCUCGUAUACAUCCCGUUUUCCAUUGUUCUCAAUUGAAAGCGGCGUUGGGAGUGGAUCGUGUAGUUCAUCCCUUACCAGAGAAUUGUAUUGAUGAGGUAGAAGCUGUUCUAGAACCAUUGGAAGUCUUGGCUAAGCGUUAUGACGAUGAGGGUUAUUUGGAGCUGCUGGUUAGCUGGGUGGGUAAGCCGUCUCAUGAGAAUUCGUGGGUUUCGUUUCGUUCGUUUGUCGAGGAUUAUCCAGCUUUCAAGCUUGAGGACAAGCUUGGUUUCAAAGGGAGAUGUAUUGAUAAGUACCAACGUUCUUAUGUGAGGCGGGAAAAGAAGAUUAUGAAUAAGGAGUUGGAUGACGUGGCCGAUCCGAGUGAUGCAUUCUUAUUGGAGGAAAUGGGUGAGCUGGCAAGAAAGGAGAAGACUCUGAAGGAAGCGGAGGGUUAGCGGUUAGAGUCUCCUCAGCUCGAGAUGGAGUAUUAAUAAAAGAAAAGAGUCGUUGUAGUUUCUUUAUGCUUUGUAUGUUGAGAGAAGACGAUAUGAGUCUCUUAAUGAUCGCUAUGAGAUCGUAGGUGUUGAUCUAUAUCGCCAUGAGAUAGAAAUCACAUCUGAACUUUACAAAGCUAUUUCCAUUUCAAUACAAGAGUAUUUCAGUUUACAAAUCUUUCAUCUACUUUACUCUAUCAGUGCUGAUUGAGAGUGAGCGACGGCGGUGAUGCAAGAAAGAGAGAGAUCGUGAUCUCCCUUGCUCUGACUCGGAUCUCUACGGCGGUGGCUUACGUUGCCUACGGUAACAAAGACGAGGCUCUCCGGUGACUUGCGAAUCAUCGCGGUGCAAAUCUGUGAACGGAACGCGACGGUUCCGUUUUCACUUUCUCAUCUCGUCUUGGUCACGUUCGCACAACACAAAUCACAAAAACGAUGGCUUCUUUAUCAGGUAUUAUCACUUCAAACUACUGUAUUUUGUUCUACUCUGAAUAUAAAAUGAAGACCGAGUUAUAUUAAUGCUCUUUUUGGGCUUUUAUCCUUUGUUUGUUUGUUCAGUGUCACUAUAGCUACAGCGCGUGCGGACUAGGAUCAAACGGAACAGACAGGCUGGUGCAGUUAGUACAAGGGAUGCAGCAUAACAAUUCUAAAAGCGAGGAUGGAACUUUGUAUGGAGCCAAAAUCACAGGUGGUGGCUCCGGUUAUUGGCCGUAACUCAUUGCGCAGCAGCCAACAAAUACACUUGUAUAUCAUUGAUGUGGUCAACAUUUAUGUAUAUUAUUUUAUGUCCUUUUACAUAUUAUUAUUAUGUAUAUUGGAUGAUUUAAGAUUCAGCAGAGAUACAAAGCAGCAACCGGGUAUUUGCCACUCAUUUUCGAAGGUUCAUCACCUGGAGCUGGCAUGUUUGGUUACCAGCGGAUCCGACGUCGUAUCUCGCUCUAAUACCCAUUGAGACCUUCUCUACUUUUGGUAUAAACUUAUUAUUUUUAUUUAUUCUUCGUACGAUAAAUACUUUGGAGUUGCUUCUCACAAAUAAAGUAGAUCGUUCUUAUCCACUUUUCAAAAUAAUAUUGACGACGACGAUGAUGAUGAUAAAAAAGCUUGUGUAUACUACUACAACGUUAUUUUGAAACAAAAUUAUCUUAUGCAAAAGAAAAGAAUAACACUUCACUUACUGUCUUUUAUGUUAAAUUAAAACGUGUUCACAUUCAUUGUGUUUGUCAUACUCAUGUUACUUUAAAAAAAAGAAUUGUGUGAAAACACUUUUAAAAUAGUCACAAAAAUAGGAAGUGAAAAUGGAAGUGGUGGUAAAAAAGUAAAGAGGAGAGGGCUUUGGUCAGACAAUGGGUGAGGUUCGUGGUUACGAGUAGGUGGGUAUCAUUCAUGAUAGAUCACACUAGCUCAGUACCCGAGGAUCUUUUUAUAUUACUGCUCAUGUGUGCCUUUAAUUGCUUUUACAUACUUUCUAUCUUUGCCUUUUUAAAAUGAUGCCAAUCGUGUUUUUAUCAUAUUAUAGGAGAUGCAUGACUGUAAAAAAUAAAUCGUUUAAGCUUCACAUCUGACCAAUUAUAUUAAUGUACGCAGUAGAUCAAUCAAUGAAGUGAGAAGGGAAAGAAAUCGUAAUUGCGUUUUUUUACACACACAUAAAGAGCAGAGAUCCGAACAAUAUGAGAGAAGGCACUUGUGCUGAUAAACGAGCCGACAUGCACGUGCUCACUUCCAUUCUUACGCGUUUCUCAUCGGAUCCUAUGAGCUUCUUCCAAUCCAACCGUAUUCCUUCUUCCACGUGUCUUUUCUACAUUCAACCUUGUUCAUCAUCAUCAUAUGAAAACGCAAGAUGGAGUUGAAUUAGAUAUCACAUGACACAGGCAGUAAAUAAAAUACUACUGCUGCACGUAACAAUUUUUAUUAAUUUCUUAUUUGCUAGUCACGUGAACAAAAAGUGGAAAUAGUGAUACGUAUAUAAAUAUGAAGCUUCUUUAACCAUAUAAAGAUAUUUAUAAAGUUUAACCUACACAAAUGUUAAAAAAAAAAAAACAUUUUACAAAAAAAAAGUUUAUAAUAAAUUGGUGAGAAAUAAAAGGAAGUAUUGGAUACAGUCUACACGUUCUUCUGCUUCACUCUAAUACUUGUGCGCCCUUCUCUUCUUUGUCUUCUUCCUCAAAUUUGCUUCGUUCACUUUCAGAUUCUCUCACCAGACACGAACUCCAGAUUCAUCCCGACAAUGGAAACAUUCCAUCUCCUCCUUUUUCUUUCCCACUUUCUCUUCUUCACGACGUACACCACGCUUACCUCAGCAAAAUCUCAGAUCGUUGACUGUACAAUGUGCACUUCUUGUGACAACCCUUGUCAGCCGAACCUCUCUCCUCCGCCUCCGACUCCAUCUCCUCCGCCUCCAGCCACCACCACCACCACUGCUUGUCCUCCGCCUCCUAGAUCCGGCGGUAGUGGUGGUGGUCCUUACUACUACUACCCACCUCCUUCUCAGUCUGGCUCUUACCGUCCACCACCAUCUUCUUCCGGCGAUGGUGGCUACUAUUAUCCGCCGCCGAAAAGUGGAGGGAACUACAACCCCUAUACGCCGCCGCCAAACCCAAUCGUUCCGUACUUUCCGUUUUACUACCACAGCCCUCCCGAGCAAUCUAUUGUGUCGGCCGGAUCUGAUGUGAAAGUCAAACUCUCUUACGCGUUUUCUUUGGUUAUAAUUUUUGCUCUUUACUUAUAAGACAGAUAAUUGUAACAUCAAGACACCCUCAGAUCUUUGUAAGGAAGAACACUAUGCAUGAGAGAUCUUUUAUUAUUCCUUCUGCUUUUUUUUUCCACUACUUUUUGCUUGCACAAGUAGCAAAUUUAUAUGUGCUUCUAUCAUUUUUAACAAUUUUAUGAAUGUAGCCUUUUUUAAUUCAUUCCAGUCGAAACUAUAGUUGAAAGGAAGCAAUAAAAGUCUUGUUUUGCUACCUCGAAUAUUAAUUACGGACAACAUAACGUAGUUACUGUUGGUUGAUACUGUAUAUGGUCAAUGGCUAAUGCUUCAGACCAUUGCCUAGUGCUACAUCAUCAAAACAUCGUCACUGCCAGAACUGGACAUUAUUACUCGUUACUUUAUUCGUAUCCACCUUGACAAUUCAAUUACUGGCAUUGUCAAACCAAAUGAUAAAUUAACAAAUUUCGUUAUCAAUUAUUAUUAUAUUUUUCCAUUACUUGUUACAUGCUCUAUUAAAUAAUAUGUCUAAUAUGUCUUUUCUUUUGUUUGCAUUUAGGGAUGGACACAAUUUUUUUUUUUUUUAUAAACAGGAGGUUCAACGGCGACCCGUAAUCCGCAAGUGGUUUUCGAUUGCCCGAAGACCCGUAAUCCGCACUUGGUUUCCGAUUGCCAACCGCCUAAUCCCCCUGGCCUGAAACCAGUCGGCACUAAUACCCAUUUACCCAAGGACCCGGCACCAACACCGCGAUAACUUUAAAUUUGGGGAGGGCGUAAAGCAUUCCGUGGCCACAAGGGGUAUUCGAACUCGGGUCCGUAUUGGCGAUAGUAACUACCUCAAGACCACUAGCCCACCACCCCAUGGUUAACAACGGGGUGGUGGGCUAGUGGUCUUGAGGUAGUUACUAUCGCCAAUACGGAUCCGAGUUCGAAUAGCCCCUGUAGCCACGGAAUACCCCAUGUGGACACAAUUACUCACUGCUCGUUUUAUAUUUGUUUCAACGUGAUUUUUUAAGUAUUCGUCGUCAUCAAAUUGAGUAUUAAAUAGUAAAUUUAGAUAGUAAAUUUAGAUACUUGCAAAUAUAAGACAAAUAACAAGUAUUGAAAUUUUUUAUCUAUCUCGCUUGCUACUAGUUGACUUGCCAAGAGAAGACAUUUUUGUUAUCGUAAGAAAUCUACAAUGCUUCCAUAUCAAAAUAUUAUUGUUUUCUUUAUCCUUCUUCUCUAUAAUAUGUGUAAAUAUGCCGUUCAAAAUAAUUUUCAUGUUCUUUUUAGUGGAGUAAACAAAGCUAACUUUCAUGUCCAUUUCAACUAAAGUACCAUUAAUAAGUACUUUUUAAAUAUUUAGAAAUAUUCGUAAAUAAUUCAAAAGUAUUCACAAAUAGCAAAUAAUAAAGUGGGACAAGUAAUUUGCAAGCAAAUCAUUUUUAUCAAGAACUUGAGAUAUCAAAUUCUCAAUUUUAAUAAAUCAAAUAUACAUUUAUUUUUUUAUUACUUGUACAAGAGAAAUCAAGUAUCAAAUACAAUAAAAAUAGCGAGUACUCGCUUUUUAGAGUAAGGAUUGGUAGAGUCUUUAUCUUCACCUUCCCUGGCGGAGGAGUGACUUGCACCCCACACGGCAUGUGUGUUGCAAGUCAGUAUUCUGAUGUAAUUGUAUAGAUAGAUAACUCUUCUCUGUAAAGAAUAGAUUUUAUACUGUUUUCAUAUAUAUUAAAAACACACAUAUUAAGAAAACACAUUAGAUUACUAUUAUAAGUGCAUUAUUUUUAUAACCAUCAAUUUUAAUAAAUUUUAACCAAUAAUAAUUCAAUAAACUCAAUUAUUUUUCUUAAAGUUUUCAAUUUUGUAUAGGAACAUAAAACGUCUAUUUUUAUGAAUUUUUUUUUAAUCUAUCUUAGUGGAACGGAGAAAUUAUUAAUUAGCAUAGUAAAGGAAUUUAUACCAUAUAAAAGUUGAGUAUAUAAGAAGACAUUGAAAAUGUCCAUAUAAGAUUUAAAAUUCCUUAUCAUAAUAGAAAUUCAUACAAAAUAAGGUAAAUUAACAAAAACAUUAAAAAUUAACUUGAUAUAGAUACUUAUUUUUUUUUUAAAUUAACAUAAAUUUAAUGAAAGACUGUUUUCAAUAUGUCAAAACUUUCAAAAUAUUUUAAUAAUUAAAAACUAAAUUUAAGUUUCUAUCAACCAAUAUUUUAAUGAACUAAAGAAGAAAAUCCUUUAACUAACGUAAAGGUAGCUUUAAUGAACUAAAAUUAGUAUACAUAUAGUUACAUAACUAAGAUAACAUAAGUUGAGGUAUUUUUAAUAACAAAAUACAACAAUAUUUCAGUUUAAAUGAUAUUUUUCUUAAUAUUUUUGUUUAAUUAUUAAUUAUAUUAAUAUCUAUAGUUUUUAUAAAAUUGAAUAAAUGACAAAAAAGUAUUUUACAAAAUAUAAUAGAUUGUAUGCUUUGUUUGAUUGUUCAACUCCAAACCUAUCAAUACUACAUCUUAUUUUCUUUUUUUUUUAUAUUAAAAAUAUAUAAAUAUUAAUCUUAGUAUAUAUAUAUAUAUAUAUGUAUAUAUUUCAACCGAUCUUAAUCUAAGCAAUACCAAAAAGAUAUUAGUCUUAGUAUAAUAACUAACAACAAUUUAGUACAAUAAUUAACAACAUUAAUCUUAGUACAUUUAAAAAAAUAAUUGGGUUUAAUAGAAAUCAAAUCCUACAUUCUAACGUACACAUAAUAAAAAUAACCCAACCAAUCAUGAUAUACGAACCGAUUAAAUAUUCUACAUAAAAUCAAAAGUCUUACUAAAAAUAAAUUAAUAUUAUUUUAAAAUUUAGAUAUUGAUUAAUUGUUAUAAUUUAUUUACUUUUACAAUAAUUAUAUUCGUGCAUGAGCAGAGAAAAAUUACCUAAUAAGAAUAUAAAUGACAUAAAUUUAUAUUCCAUAUAAAAUAAUUUAUACUAACAGACAAAAGGUAUUUAAAAUGAAUCAGUUUGAUCUUUACUGUUUUGGAAAAUUAACCUAAAAUUAAAAAUAAUUGUUUUUAAUAAAAUAAUACAAAAAAUUGAAACUACAUAAUAUUGAAAAUAUCAUAUGAAAUUGCAAUAUCAAUAAAAUAUACCAAAUGAAAAUUUUAAUUUAAUAUUUUUAAAAAUUAAUAUUUCCAUAAAAUGUUUCCUUGAAAAUAAAGUAAAAUUUAAUAAUGUGUAACUCAUUAAAAAGAAUUAACUCGAUAAAUAUAAUAUUUUUGGAAAUUUUACAUUAAAGUGAUUAAUCAGAAAUGUCAUAAUAUAAGUUAAAACUAUAAAUAUAUAUUUGUUACAAGUAAGAAGAGAAGAGAAGAAUUGGUGUAUCUUAUUCCAUGAAUAAUGAAUCUUUUAUAUAAGAUUACAAUAGUUUGAGGACAAAGUCAUUUGGAGAACAAAUAAAGCUUGGAGAACAAAUAUAUCUAAGACUUGCCAUAAUGGCAUAACCAUAAUAUUCAUAACACUUCCCCUUGAUGUCCAUUAUGCGCGUAGAUGUUGCCUCGUUAAAAACAUUACCAGGAAAACCCAAUGGAAAAAGCCAUGGUUAAGGGAUAAUUACAAGUAAGAAGAGAAGAGAAGAAUUGGUGUAUCUUAUUCCAUGAAUAAUAAGUCUUUUAUAUAAGAUUACAAUAGUUUGAGGACAAAGUCAUUUGGAGAACAAAUAAAGCUUGGAGAACAAGUAUAUCUAAGACUUGCAAUAAUGGCAUAACCACAAUAUUCAUAACACUUCCCCUUGAUGUCCAUUAUGCGCGUAGAUGUUGCUUCAUUAAAAACAUUACCAGGAAAACCUAAUGGGAAAAACCAUGGUUAAGGGAAAAAGAGUGCAUCGCGUAAUGAAUUCCCCUCAUGUGUACAUAGAUCGAGAUCUUUGAGACGAUGUAGUCCGAUAAGAUGAACUAACUUCUUGAAAGUAACAGUGGUUAGCGUCUUGGUGAAUAAGUCAGUGAAACUAGGGGUGGGCACUUUACCCGAUAUUAAAAGUGGCACCCGAACCCGAUCCGAAAAACCCGAACCGAAAUCCGAACCGACGUAGCAGAAUAUCCGAACGGGUAUUAAAUUAGGAGAGAUUGGAUAUCCGAACCCGAACGGGUAAUAUCCGAACCCGAAUGAAUAUCCGAAAAUAACCGAACAUAUGUAUAAUUAACCUUAUAUUUCUAGUUUACAUCUCUCAUUUUAUAUAAAAUAUUUAUAUUGAUAUACUACACAUAUUUUAAGCUCAUAUGAUAUACAUACAAUUACGAAGAAAAUUAUUUGCUACUUACUUAAAAUGCAUGUCAAAUUUUUUAUUUCAAAAAUUAACAAAAAGUUACAUCCAAAAUUUAAAAACAAUAACCAAAUUAAUGUCUUUUUAGUUUCAAAAUGUUAUGUCCAAAUCUAUUAACCAUUCAAUCUAUUAAAAAUAAAAAUUAGUUAAGUGAAAGUUAUAUUUUUAAAUACAAGAAAUUUGAAAAAUGAAAAUUUAAUUUUGUUUUUUUCAAAACCUAAAUAUCCAAACCCGAUCCGAAAUAAAUGAAUCUGAACUAAAAAUAUCCGAAACCGACCCGAAGUACAGAAAUACCCGAACGGGUUCUACACCUCUAUACCGAAAUACCCGAUCCGAACCCGAACGGAUACCCGAACGCCCACCCCUAAGUGAAACUGUCACUUGAAGGAACAUGUAGGACACGGAUAUCGCCACUCUUCUGCAGUGAAUGAGUCUUGAUAUGAUCCAUAUUGAAAUUAUAACAUUCACUUUAGAUGUCUGUCAUUUGUGUGUUCUUUGUUGCCUCAUUAAAACCUUUAUAUCUUGGAAAAUCCCAGUGGGAUAAAAACCAUGAUAACGAAAAGAGUACAACCACACAUAGUUUUAUAUCUCUUCCCCAGAAAGCAAUAUAUUCAGGAUAUGCAUUCCGAUCAAAUAUAUCUCUUUAAUUUGGAAAUUGAUCUUAACAGAACAAACUCUUUUGAUUUCUGUUAUAAUAUUUAGGGUCUUUAGACUUCUGGUCCAAAAUCUCUUUGACAUAGACAAUAAUUUCUUGGUCUAUUUGGACUUCAAGCCAAAUUUCUUUACAUACAAUCGUCUAAUCAUUUGUCAUGUACAUACGAUUUAUUCAUUCGUAACUAUAAAGUUACUAUUAUGAUUUUUUUUCUAGCCAUAUGAAAUUACAUCUUUCAAUUAUGAAAGAGAUCAGUAACUUGCUCAAACAACACUCUUAAGUAUGGUACUUCAAGAUCAGUGAGUAACUACACUCUAAAUAUGGUACUUCAAGAUCAAUCAUAUGUGAUCAUCUUAAAAUCUUUAAGGAUCUUCAAGAUCUAGAUGUCCAGUUUGUAAUACAUAACAAUGUAGUCUUUUCAAGAUUUUUCUUCCAAACAAACAAUUUAUUAUAACUCUUAGAGAGUUUGGAUUAUAUUCAAAUCCAUGAUUCUAUGAAUUCAUAAUCUCUUGAUAAAUACAAAUGGAUACAUUAGUUAAUCUUAUAAUAUUUCCAUAAAUUCCCUAAAAUAUUUUGUUUCAAUUCGAUCGAAUCACUAGAGUUCCCGUGAACAUAAUUUUGCUAUCAUCAAUCAUUCAUGGAUUCUAUCUCUCAAAGAUUAUCAUUUUUCAGUGGGUCAUAUAAUUCAAGUUCUUCUUUUAUUGCCAAACUGAUAAAGAACUUGACAGUAGUUGCAUCUACCUCAUGAGAGUGUCUCUUCACAGUCAGUUUCAUAUUGAUUUUUCUUUGGUACAACGACUCAUUUCUGUCCCACUUGUUUUACACCUUUUGGUGUAUGGACUAUUGGUCCAAAUAUUUCUCUCUUUCAUGAGAGUUUAUAUCUUUGUAUAUUGCUUCUUUCUGAUUUGGCCAAUCAUUUUUUUGUGUACACUUUUCAAUAGACUUUCUUUUAUGAUCAUCUUUCUCAUUCAUCAUAUCAACUGCUACUUUGCAUGCAUAAAUAUCCUCGACGUCGAUUUUCUUAUCGGUUCCAUUUUAUUCUAUACAUGACAUAACUUAUUGAGAUCUAUUCAUUUUCUCUGGUACCUGAAUUAUUUCAGUCAUGUUUUAACAUCUCUUCUGGAUAUCAUUCAAAAACUUUGUUUCCUCUUGACCAUUAUUAAUUUAUGAUCCUUUUCAUUUACGAGGAUUUUUAUCUUUGGAAUCAACAUGUCUACCACGCUGCAGGCGUGACUAGCAGUUUGAUAUUGUUCUUGUAAAACAUCAAUUCUUAUUGGAGUAUUUACAGCUGGUAUAUGUGACUUGAUCACUAUUUAUCUAGGUCAGUAAAUGUGUCUGGCAACUGCUUUACUAAGCUAUAUCUUUGAAUUAUCUUUUGGACUUCUAUUUCACAUUCUAUUUAGUCUGAGGAUCGAUUAUAAUUCAUUUCAACUUAUUUUCGUUUCCAUCUGUGUAUUUUCUCCCCUUUAUGUUGGAGAUACUCGUUUUAAUUUGAGCAUUCAUAUCGAGCCUUACUUAUCCUUCGGAGAUGACUCUAGAUACUUAAUUAUCAAUGGAGAUUCAUAUCCAACAGAUAUUCCCAACCUCAUUUGAAACACAUCUUAAUAAGCUUGUGGAGAAACUGGAAUGUAUAUUGCACAUGCAAAACUCUUAGACGAAAAAUUGUUGGUUUCUAACCCAAUACCAAUGAUGAGGAGAACUAGUGGUUACUUGUUGGCUUGAUACGAAUUAUGUUGCUCAAAAUGUUCAAUACUUAUUACGCUGAACAUGUAAUAAUUAUCAAAUACUUAAGACGUGAAUUCACCAAGAUUAUAAAAAUGCAUGGUGGGUGAUCAGUCCACCAACAUCUCAUUUAUUCAUGCCAAUAACUUCAUUUGGCUGGUGAAAACCGUAUUACCAUUUUAUCUAAUGAGCAAGCAACGUAUGUGAAAUCAUUCGCAAGAAUCUUCUGGUUCUUCAAUGAAUAUUCACAUAAAUCUUUAUGUAUCUUUUCGAAUCAUUAUUAAACCAAAAUGGUCUAACUGGUUCGUGCCAAAUGUUUUUGUAAACUUUUGGUUUACUAUGUAUUUAUCUCCACUACACUAAUAUUUAUGUAGUAAAAUCUAUAAGAGAAUGUAGGUACUUCUCUAAAAUACUUUUAGAGCCUUGAGAAAUAUUUUUGAUUUGCAAUGAAUUUAACAUUUCUUUCGCUUAGUAUCUCAACAUAACUUGUUUCAAAAUUCCAUAGAUUUACUUUAAGAAGGAUUUGUCAACCAAUUUGAGUGUAAACAUAAUUUUUUGGAUGUUUCACUUAUUAUAAACUGUGAGAUUCUUUAAUUCUUCCUCUCGAGAUGAUAAUACUACAAAUUUUUUAGUUUCUAAUUAAAUCUCAUUUUAGAAUCAACAACAUACCAUAUUUGGGUUAUGUAUUCUUUCUCAUAUCCUUCAAACUUUUGAGACUUAUAAGAAUAUAAUGCAAUAAGAAUUUUAAAUUGCAUUCUUAUCUAUAAUAAUAUUAUGUACUCUUCUGGAGCAUCAUAUAUGUCAUCUUCUUGAACAUUCAAUAAACUUUAUACUACCUUUUAUUGUACUCACUAGUUUUCUUUCAUCUUUCUCUUCUUUAUUACCAUUUUUAUUUUUUCAACUUCAAGUGGAAUAUAAAUUCUAAAAAGAAACUCUUUGGUUUUGACCUUAACCAUAACCAUAUAUAUAUAUAUAUCCACAUUCACGUCUACAACUACUUUUUGGACUUACCAAUAUUAUUUGUAUGGAUUCUUUCUCAAAAUGUUAAAUUCUCUUCAAGAGAAUGAAUCAUAACCAACUAGACGUGAUUUUUGAUCUUACAUCAAUAGUUCAUUGUUUUUCUGAGUCUCGAAGAGACAAGAUACAAAUAUAAAUUUCUUUAAUCUUUUUUUUCAUCCAUGUGUAUGUUGGACAACAUUACGUGUGAAAACUGUAUUUUUCACUAUAUUUGCAUCAUUAAAAUUUCUUUGAGAAAUUUUACUUUAUCCAACAUAGUUAAGAUUUAUCUACAGACUUCAUGUCUUGUAAUAUUUAGAUGCAAAAUACAUAAUAAACUUUAGGUAAUCGCACUCUAGUGAUUAUACCUUUCUUUGGAUUGUUUUCCAAAACUUGUGGAUUUUUUAAGAUCAAGCUUUAAGCUUAAAACUAUCAUAUAUGUAAUGGUAAUGAAAUAGAACCCUCGUACUAACUUUUAUGCAAAUUAUUUUAUAUACUUAUGUAUAUAAAACAUAGAUAAAUACUUAUCUUAUAAAGAGAAAAGCACCAGCGAUGAGUGUUACAACUCUUCAUGUUUCUCGACAUCUUACAUGGUUUCUUUCUCUUUUACAAAGAAUAAAUAUUCCUGAAAUACUUAAAUUUGCUCAUAUAAAAUGACUAUUGAUAUGUUAGUAAACAUCAGUAUUUAAUAUCAAAAUUAAAUCCGUAGCAUUACACCAAUAUUAUUACUAACAAUAUAUGAGAACCAAGAACCACUCACGUAUAAAACAAUAUCAUUGAUUGGUGGAAUAUAAAUUAAUGAGAACCAAGAACCAUUCACAUAUAAAACAAUAUCAUUUAUUGUAUUGACAGCAAUUAGGUCAAACUCAGACUCAUAUCUUAUUGCUAAGAAUACAAAGUAUGUAUGUGAAUAAACCUAAACAAUAAGUGUAAACGAUCAUUACUAAUGAAUUAAGUAAUGAAACAAUAACCAUAUGGCUAAUAAAGAAAACACAUGAGUAUCAACCAUAACAAGAAUGAUUCGUAGGUUUUGAUUGUAGCUAUAGGUUCUAACUUUUAGUUCACAGUUUCAACAAUAAAAUUGUCAAGAUAGCUAUUAGUUAUAUAAUUACAUGUUGUAUGAAAAACAGUGGCAAUAUGCAACCGUAUGAAAGUAUAGGUUAAUAACAAUACAACAUGUUAAGCAUAGGUUUAUAGCAAUACUACGAAUGAACACUAACACGUUUAACAAUUACGUGAUGACAUGCGAAACAUAUAAUAAAAUCUAAAGCAAACACAAGCUAUUAUGAAAUCAAACACAUACGAAUAUAAAUAUAACAAAUUGCGCGUUAGCUUGUCGACAAGGUCUCAGUUUGAUCGAAUGAUUUUUUCCUUUCCACGAAACAAGGGCAAAUCAAUAUUGUCGACUGAAACUUUUAAACUCAAUCAAAAUCAACAUGUUGAUAACUAUAAAUCUCACUCUCACAAACCAUGAAUUGAUAAUAAGCAUGAUUUAGAGAAGGAUUGAACAUAGAUUAUAGCUAUUAACAUAAAAUAAAAAUCUGUACCUAUUAGCCCAAACUCACUAGAGUUUCAUGCUGAUAACAUGUUAUAAGUAAGAAGAGAAGAAUUGGUGUAUCUUAUUCUAUGAAUAAUGAAUCUUUUAUAUAGGAUUACAAUAGCUUGGGAACAAAGUCACUUGGAGAACAAGUAAAUCUUGGAUAACAAGCAUAUCUAAGACUUGCCAUAAUGUCAUCACCACAAUAUUCAUAACGAUAUUUACCAAAAAAAUAAAAGCCGGGUGAUCACCAAAUUUAUAUAUGUUAAUUUUCUUUUAAUUUUUAGAUCAUAUAUGCUAAGAAAAAGGAAAUUGACAACAAAAAUUGGUAAGAAAAAAAAAAGAAAAGGAACUUUUAAUUAAAAUUAAGGAAUAAGAAUAUUCUCAUAGUUAGUGUUAAAUUAAAUGUUAAUUCGAAUUAGUGAUUCAAGAGCAUAUAUUGUUUCACUAUAUAUAAAGAACCAAUAUUCUAAGAAUAAUACGUACCAGAAAGAUAAAUGGAUUCUCUAAAACAUCAUAUAGUUUUCUUCAUCACGAUGAUUAUGUUCAUGAAUGCAACCAUGUCCUGUGCGCAAAAGACAACAGUGGUGAUUCAUAAUGAUCUUGGAAGUGGAUUAUCGUUAGGCUACCACUGUCAGUCGGGGGACAAUGAUCUUGGAUACGGGGGUCUGGGAGUAGGUGGAUCAUGGUUCUUUCGCUUUAAACCUGAUAUUUUUGGUCGUACUUUAUUCUUUUGCAGAUUUAGUUGGGGAAACGAAUCACAUUAUUUCGAUAUAUAUAAGCAAAAAAGAGAUAAAGAAUUUGAGAAGUUUGGAUGCACACACUGUGAGUGGAAUAUACGUAAGAAUGGUCCUUGCAAGCUUAACAAAAUCAAUAACAUGUUUGAUGUCUGUCUUCCUUGGAAUUCUUGACUUUUUCAACAGUUUUAAUAUCUAUACGUAUUAUCUAAUAGCGUAUUAUACUCUUAUUAAAGUUGUGUUACGAAUAAUAAUAUGGAAGAGGAUUUUUUUGUCAAGUAAUGAAAUAAGUAUUGUUUGUGUACGUCAGCUACAAUGAGCUCUUGUUAAAAUUACGUUUAUUAACCACCAUAUUUGUGUAUGUUAUUUACAAAAAAUAAAUAAAAAUAUUUGUGUAAGUUACCAAUUCUCGACCAAAAAUGUGUUGUAAAAUCAUAUUUCAAUGUUCUAUAAUCGGAAAUUUAGAAUAUAAUGUAAUUUAGAACAUAAUGUAGUUUUUUUUAAACUAGGGGUGGGUAUAUUAACGAGAACCAAAGAAUUGAACCGAAACUGAACCAUACUUAAAAAAUAUGUUAAUGGUUCCAAGUUUUGAGAACAAAAAAAAUCAGAACCGAUCCGAAUAGAACUGAAAUAUUUCGGAUAACUGAAUGGAGCUAAAAAUAUAAAAAAAAAUACUAAAAAUAACUUAAACUAUCAAAAAUAUAGCAGAAAGAACGAAUAUGUCCUAAGAUAACCAUAAAACUCCAAAAUAUUUAAAACAAAUACCCGAAUGGUUACUUAAUUCAAUUAGAAAUGAUCUCGAAUUGAAACGAAAUAUUUUAAAACCGUAUGGUUUCAAUUUUCGAGAACCGAACUGAAUGCCUAUACCUAAUUUUAACAUUUUGAUAUUGUAUUGAUGGAGAUUGUUUGAAGUUCAUAGUGGUACCUACCUUAAUAGACCUUUUAUUUAUGCGGAUGCUCAAGCUACGUACGUUCCCUACAAGUUGGACUGGCUCCACAUCAUUGUAAUCCUUAUGGUUCUUGUAACGAAAAGCGGAGAAAAGGUUAUGUUUUGUCAGGAUUCUCGUUUGGGCUUCAUGGUAGUAUAUUGAAGUCAGUUGCAUCUUUUAUUGGGUUUUGGUGAGGAAUCUUAGUUAAGGAGAUAAGCUAUAACUUAACCUCUUUAUAAAAAAAAAUUAUAACUUAACCUUAAGCUUGUAUUAUAUAUCAAGUUGAUUCAUUUUAAAUUAAUUUUUUUGCUAGUUUAAUUUAUUUUAUAUGGACUUUGAAAAUUAGGUUGAUUUAUAUUCUUAUAGCUUUGAUUUGUUUUUUAAAUCAUAUUAUUUCUUUAAAAUAUUAGUUAAUUUCAUAUUAAUUUUCUAAAUAGUAUUAUAUCAAGUUGAUUUUUUUUGUCAUCAACUAAACAGACUCAUACUGAUUCGGAAAACCAAACAAGUGGCUCUGCAUCCAUGUGAACGACAAAUGACGGAUUUUUCCUAACAGUGUGCAAGACUGUCCGCUUCCUUGUUUUGCGUCCUUGGUACAUGAAUAAUCUCUUAGCGAAUAAAACUUUCUUUCAAGACCAUCAAGUUGAUAUUUUAUGAGUUACUUUUUUGGUUAGUUUACUUUAUUUUCUUUGAAUUUCUAUUUUAUUUUCAAAUAAAUAUUUACUGGAAGUGAUGACAUUUUAAAAAUAAUGAUUUGGUAUAUUUUGAUUGGUGGUUCUAAAUCCUACGUGUCAAUUUUCAAAAUAUUUCAAAUAAUUAUUUUAAUAAUAGACUAUAAACUAUUGAGGGUGUCGUAUGCAUAUGACUAAACCACCAAUCAUAAUAUGCCAAAUCAUUAUUUUCAAAAUGCCAAAACAUCAAAAAACUAUUUUCCCCAAAAUAAAGUAGGAAUUCAUUCAAAAUAAGGUAAGCUAACAAAAAAAAAAUCAUGAAACAGAAUCAACUUGAUACAGCUACUAUUUUUUUAAAAUCACCCCAUCAUUAACUAAUUGUUCUUAAGAAUAUAAUAUUUUUUAAAAAGUCAAAGUAAUAAGAAUUCAAAUCAUAUAUAAAUUCAAAGUCCGUAAUAAACUAACAGAUAAAUAAUAAUUUCAUAUUAAUAAAAAUUAACAUAUAAUAUUUCAAUAAAUUAAAUAAAAUUAAAAAUAUAUAUUUUUAAAAAUAAUACAAAAACUUUUUUCAAUUUAAAAGCUAUAAGAACUUAAAUCACAUAUGAUUUUAAAAGUUGAACUACAACAUAUUGAAUUCCUCAUAUAAAAUUUUAAAAUAUCAAUAAAAUAUACAAAAUAGAAAAUUUUGUUUAUUAUUUAAAACAUUAAAGUUUCCAAAACUAUUUAUUACAGAAUAAAAUAAGAAAUAGGAAUUAACUUGAUACGUAUAAUAAUUUUGGCAAAUUAAGAUUAAAGAGAUUAAGAGGUUGAUUGUUUACAGAUUUUGAAGUAGUUUUUGGCUUUUGUUUUUGGAAAACCCACUUUUCUUCCAAUCAAGUUUUAGUUUUUAGUUUUUAUUUUUUGUAAAAAUCAUUUGAUUUGCCAAUCAAGAUUUUUAACAAGUAGAUUCCCUAAAUUUUAGGGAAACUAGUUUUUCAAAAUUUCAAUAUAUUUAUGAAGAAAAACCAAAAACUAACUUUUGUGGGUUUUUUGAUAAAAAACGAAUUUUAUUUCUUUUAUGUAUUUAUAAUUAAAUAAAUAAUAUUCCAUAAAGAGAAAUUUUCCAAACAAGUUUUUAAGAUAUCAUUUAAACAAUAAUGUAAAAUAAUUUAUUUGUGUCUCAUAUCUGCAAAUAAAUUUUGAUAUUUAUAUAUAAUAUUAAUUAAUUUUAAAUCAUUAGUUAUUAAUUGCUAUAAAUAAAAUUAUUGAAUAACUGUAAGAAUUAUUAGACACACUAAAAUAAAUAAUAUUUUAUAAUUUUAAAUUUUGUUUUCUUAUUUUAAAAUGAUGUAUUGAUUAUAUAAUAAAAUUUUCUAAGUAGUUUCAAACUUUUAAAUAUUUUUAUUUUUGUGUAAUUUUAUAUAUAUUUUAUUUAUAUUUUACUAUAAUAUAUUUUUUUAUAAAAAUAUAAUAAUUAAAAUAUUUUAUUGUAUUUUAUUUUAAAAUAAUAAUCACAAUAUUUUGAUAAAUUUUAAUUGUAAAAUCUCAAUAUUUAUUGCUAUUUUAUUAUAUAUUUCACAGUAAUGUAUUAAUUAAUUUUUUAAAAAAAUAGAGAAAAACCAAAAACCAAAAUCAAAAUAUAAAAACCAAAAAACAAAAGCUGAAAACCAAAAAUCAAAAUCUAAAAACCAAAAACUAAAAUCUAAAAACUAAAAACUAAAGCUUAAAACUACCGAAACAAACAUUAUUAAUAUAAAAUUUUAACUUAAUAAAAGAAGAAACAAUUACCCUGAAGUUUUAUAUAUUUUGUUUUAUUUUUAAAUCAUUGCAUAUGCUAAUAAAUAAUAGGGCACAAAGUUUCUAAAAAAAUUGAAAUAUUAGUUAAUUUCAAUUUGUUUCUUUCUACUUAGCAAUUUCAUUCUUUGGUUUUCAACAGUUUACAAAAAAAAAAAAAAAAAAUUAAAAGAGCUAUUGGUAAGAGUAAGCCAUCAUUCAUUUCUGAAUUUCAAAAUUCUUCUUAAUCAAACAAAGAAAUUAACGAAUUUAUUUACUAAUCAAAAUUAAAAUUUUAAUCAACACUAUUAUUUUACAUUUUUGACACAUUUUAGUCAGUUAUAAACAAAAACUCAUAUAAUUUAAUAAAAUAGGCUAUAUUGAAAAAAAUCUAACAUGUUCUAAUCUUCAAAACGUUAUUAUUAUCGUUGUUAAAACAAGCUACAUGAUGAAUUCUCAUAAAUAAUUAGUCUCAUUCACCUUAAAUAACAUAUAAAAAUUAAAUGCUCAUAAAUGAUUUUUGUCAAAAAAGAUAUUUAAAGAAUAAUAUAUAUAAAAUAGAUGAAAAAUAAAGAGUACAAAAAAAUCUUGUCAAAUCAGUUAGUUACAAUUUCCACAGAAACUUGUAAGAAGACCAACAAUGAAUUAGCAUGAAAGACAAGUCAAAAAUGAUAGAACGAACAAUUAAUAUGAAUUUAUUAAUACAAUAAUAUAAUAUCUAAGGAUCUUAACAAACAAACUAAAACAAUAAAAAUUUACAAAUUUUUAACAUUUAGAAUAAAAAAAUUUCAAGAUUACAAUGAAUAAGGUAUUUGAGAGUUUUUUUCUCUUGUCGUUAGCAUUUAGCAACUAUGAAUGAUUAUUAAAUUAUGUAAUAGUUUUCACAGGAUCGUACAAAUUCUCAUGUAAAGCCAAAAACAAACAAAUAUUAUUUAUCAUACCAGAAUAAUACAUUUUCAUACAACAAACUAAAAUAUAUUCUAUUGCAGUGCAUUAUAAAAUCAUACAAGCUUCACUAACUAAAAAUCUAAUUAGAUCAAGUAGAAGAUAAAUAUAAUACUCCAGAUUCUCUAUAUUAUUCUCAGCAAAUGUUCAACUCGUUGUCGAUUUAAACAAGUUUUGAGAUGAUCUUGUUGUACACUCCGAGUCAGAGGCUGAGAUUGGAGAGUUUGACAAAGAUCCGGAUUCAUAGUAUGUUUUUCUUCAAAUUUGAGUAGAUUUACGUAUUUAGAAAAUUUGUAACAAUAUAUGUAACUUUAAUUAUUGAAGUUUUUUUUGUUAGUUGUUGGAGUUGUUUAAAAUUAAUAUAUUUUUGAUUGAAAAUUUUAUAUUCCUGCUAUUUUUAAAAAUAAUUUACACUGUAUUUUUAAUAAAAAAUGAUUGUUAAAAAAAUUCAGAGAUUGGUUUCAAAAAUUAUUUAAAUAAAGAAAAUUUAAAUGUUAUUCCUCGAAAUUCCGUCGAAACAUUCCGACAUAAUUCCGAGGAAAGCACCUAUAUAUUGGGAUUUUGGUUUGGGGUUUAACUUCCUUGGAAUUCCGUUGGAACAUCCUGACACAAUUCCUGGAAAUCAAUGUUUUUGAUAUGAAUUAUUCAAAAAAAAAAAAUCAUCAACAUAAAAAGACUCAUGGAGACUCUAUAAACCAAGCUGGUAGCUCUGCGUCCGUCCAUAUGAACGACAAUCGACAGUUGUUUCCUUGCACUUCGUGCGAGGCUGUCCACCUUGGUAUUUUGUGUUCUGGGUAUAUGGAUGAGCUCAGUGUGGUUGAAACUUCUUUUGAGGGUCUUGAUAUCUUCGAUAUAGCUUGCAAAAGCUGGUAUUCAUCAGUUUUGAAACCAUCUUCACCAAUUGAGAACAAUUUGUUGCAAAAGUUACAUGAAACUGCCGUAAAUUUCUCAUACAUUUCAUUGUCCAAAUGAAUGCCUCUAGUUCCGAAGGUAGAGGAGAAAGAUUGGCUCUGGUAUUCGUUGCUCACAUCAUCCCAUCAAAGCCUUCGAGCGUGUUAUACCAACCUUUUCCGGAACAACUUUCAUGUUCUUUCCAUGACCCAUCCCUAAAACACCAUCUUCCCGGUAUAUGAGGUAAAGUCGAAUCCACUACCUCUCUAGAUCUAUCGAUCCUACGAAUAAUUGAUUCUUUAACCUCGGCCCAAAGACUGAUUAUGUCUCCUCCAAGUUGAGAGUGUCCAUGGGAUCUAUAUCCAAAUUGCUAAAAACUUUGUUGUUUCGAGCUUUCCAAAUAUACCAUAAAAUUCAAGCAAAUUGAUGAUCUUCCAGAAGCGGAGAUACUCUACAAAAUAGAUGAUCCAUAUUUGUAAAGAGUGAAUGAGCCAGAAAAAUAUCUAGAUUCGAAGGGGUCUUUGAAAGUAUCCAAACUUGUACCGCCCAGGGGGGCAUUCAAAGAACAAGUGAUUUAUUGUUUCCUCAAAUACUCCACAUAUUGCACACUGUGAUCCCUUUGAAUCCUUCUCACUUGCAAACUUUUUAUAUGAAACAUUCAAUAAAAAUAUAAAAUCGAAUACCGACACGUCAUAAAAAUACAUAUUAAGUGUCUAAUACGAUGUGAGUUAACAAUCGUUCAAAGUUUUCAACUUAUAAAAUCCUCUAUGAAUAUAUCAACGAGUACAUAAUAUCUCUCAUAAACACUUAUACAAUUAAACAAACAUAUUUUGAUAAUCCAACUUACAAUAUUGAUUUUGUUCUCUUAUAAACACUUAUAUAUUUAAAACAUGCAGAUAAUUCCUUCUAAAUCAUCAAUAUUUUAUAAAAAUGUACUGUGGGUCAAUUAUCUCAUGUUCUGAAACCAGAAAUCUCAUUUCGUCGGAUUUUUUUUCCAAUGAGCUGGUUCCGAUAGAGAAUUUCGUCAGAAAUGCGUUUCUUUGAUGGAUUUCGACAAAAUUCUUCGUCGGAAUUCGCCUUCUUUCUUGUAGUUUUUCUUGAUUUGGUCAUUUUUUUAUCGUAAGUUGUUGCCUAUUUAAAGGCUUCGUCAUCUCUUAUAACAAGUUCACAGAAUCGAUACAAGUUUUGUUCAUUUGAAUUCAUUGUCUCCCUCUCUUUCUUGUGUCUAAACAAUAUUGACAAUGUAAGAGUCUUGUGUAUCACGAUUUAAAGGAUGCCUUAAUGUAGCUUAAUACUUAUUAAACACUCACUGAACUUUUACUUAUCUUCUUCUCUUACUCUAGUUUACCGAUUCUUUUUUUUUGGGUCAAAACUCUAGUUUACUGAUUCUAAAUCUCGUUCUUCUUAAAAACACAAAUUCAAAGUAUUUUGUCACUUCACAAAGAUUAGUUUUAUACUAGAGUUUCUUUGACUCAGAUAACCAGUCUAUUGUAUAGAAUCUUUGGUUAUAGUAUAGACUGUGUAAAAGGAUUCAACCACGAGUUGGUUCUCUUUCUUUAAUUGGCGGGUUCAUGUUAUGUGGUUGACAGCAAUUCAGUUACAAAUUGACUGAAUACCAUUUUUUUGACAUGCAACAAACACUCAUAAAUUUCAAUGUUUCUAAGUAUUUAAAGUAACCCAGGUCUCGGAGAGAGGAGAGUGUAAUUUUGUUAUUUUCUCACUUUUGUCUUUAAUAAGUCCAAAAUUACUCUUGUUUUCUUCCUUUCACCUGUCGAGAAAGAAACCUUAAUUUAUCGUAUUUCACCAUCGUUUUUCACGAUUCUUAGCAAAUUUUAGUGAUUUUAGUGAUUUAUAUGCUUUUUUUACCUAGUUAUGAAGGAUUCUCAAUUAAAGAUAUAACCAUAUAGAGAUCCGCACAUUGCGCGGGAUGAGUGUGUAUGGAAAAAAAAUUCUUAAAAUUUAAUUUACAUUUUAAUUCACUAUUUCUAUUAUUAAUCAUUAUAUAAAACGUAAACUAUGUAAAUUUUAAUCAUGUAGAUGUAUUACAUCUUGGGUUUGUAAUUAUAUAUGUUCAGUUAUAUAUGGACCAGGACAUAUGAAAGAUUAAAAGAUAGAAAUAAUCAUUGGGUCUUAGCUAUGUUAAAAACACAAACAAAUUUAGUGGCUAUAUUCUCUAAAACUCAUUUGUUGAGAAGAUGAGAAAUGUAUUGUUCUUUUCAAAUGUCAAGAACUUUAAGAAAAAAGAAUAAGAGUUUAUAUGACAAAUUCAAAUCUUUUCACUAUAAACCAGUUCAUCUGAGAUUCUUAUGCAACCAAUAUUUUCUUCUUUUCUAUUUUAUUUUUGCUUGCUUUUUAUUUCUCGUGUCUGUUGAUUUCGUAAUCUCCAAAAUAUUGUUUCUCAACAUCAAAUAAAUAGUUUUGCAACACGAUUUAUGUCCCAAAAAAUGGUGCAUCUCCUUUGUUCACUUCAGUGAUUCAUUUCUUAUACCAAGAUACGUUAAUUUUUCUUUUUUUAAUUCAUAUAUUAUUAUAAGUUAUAUAAAUUUAUACUGUAAUUUUCAUAAUAUUGAAUAAUAGCCCAUAAAAAUAAAGUUUAGAUAAAAUGUAGUCGUUGGAUUACAUGAUAUUUUAUGAUAUUUUCUUUUUUGAAAUGGAAGAAACGUAUAUAGAAUGAAUUCAACGAAAAUAGAGAUGAAAAAAAAAAUUAAAUAUAUUGUUUUUGAAGGAUAAAAUUUAUUUUUCAGGAAUUCCAAAAACCAAAAAUCCAAAUAGACCCGAGUCAAAUUUGAAUAGAUAGCCGAAUAAUUUACCUUUGCGAUGGAUCCAGAGCAUACAGAUCUAUUCCGGAGUGUUGGAGCAAAAAACCUGCAUAAACAAAAAAAAGGAAGGAUUGUUGAGAACAGAGAAGACGUAAAGGGACAACCAUUGAAGACAUCAUAAACUUGAAGUAUCUGAAACUGCAGAAGAUCUGAAUCUCUUACUACCACAGAAGGAUCUAAGGCGAAAUUCAAGUAUGAAAAAGAUCCCAAAUAGCCAUUUAAUUAUACGAAGCAAUGCAACAUUUCACUUCCCAGGCCCCCAUCCAAUAUCACAACUCCAUUUUGCAGUAACUACUCAGAAAAAAGUGCAAGCUCUUGAGAUAUUUCCAGGUCACCAAGAGAUGGUCUCUGUCCCGACAAAUCAACUUAUCAAAAGACUAAAAGAUAAAGAUCAAGAGAUGACCUGAGGUGCAGCCAAGUAACAAUGAGAUGUAUAUUAACGAACAUUCGGAAGUCUAAAUCUUCUGAACUUUCACCAUAACUGACAUCUACCAUUUAUAAUGUCAUAACCCCGAGAUAGCGAGAGAGAGCUAAACCUAUAAUCUGGAUGCAGGAAGAAGAUGCGACAUAACAUCUAGGAGACUAGUAUGAAUGGAAAAGAGUUUCAUAAAUCCACUGACGUCAUAUCAAAGGUCAAGUAGAGUAGCAGAUUUCCCAACUUAUUAAUCUGACAAUGCACACAGACAUCAAGCAGCAGAAAUUCAUGCCCAACCUAGCCACAUCCUAACAACGUCAAAGGCCAAACCAGUCAUCCCAAAGAGUUGAAGCCCGACCUUAAGGGUCUUCAAUUGUUCUCCUUUAACUCAAUUCCUCAACCCAAAGAAAAUGUACACCGACUCCUCCAAGUAUCAUCAUAAAUUCAGCUACAUAAAUUUGGAUUAUUAUAGUUCCUUUUUAAUGUUUUAGAAAUAUAGUUCCUUUUGAAAUUAGACACACACAAAAAUAUAUAUUGUCUUGUACUCAUAUCAAUAUAGGAGUGUGCACUGCACUCACCCAAAUGUAUGUCCUAAAGCUUUAUAAAAUAUAAUUCAUCACACAGAGCAUAACCAUAGUUCUCUCCCACACACACACAAAACAUAACCUUACCUCUCUUUUUUUAUCCCUCAAAACACAUACACACAAAAUUUGAAGCUUAAAUAGUCUUGCUCGAUGGCCGGUGGAGAGUUGAGAAAUGGAAUUAGAAAAGCUUGCGCCCUUCUCAUAGUGAUUGACGGGAUAGAGGGAUGGAUAUGCAUUCAAAGGAGUUGCAUCAAACUUAUUGACUUACUUAACUGAUGUGGUGAAGAUGAGAAACUCAAGAGCAGCCACGACUGCUAACACUUGGAGUGGCUUCACUUUCAUGUUGCCUCUCUUCUCUGCUCAUUUCACCGAUUUACUGGGACAGAUUCUUCACCAUCCUAGCUUAUUCUUCUCUCUACUUUUUGGUCAGUAUCACUAUACCACCCUUCUGUUAGAAUCAACAUCAGAAAGAACAAUUCAAGACUUGUUUGUUUAAAAAUCAAAAACUCAGAUCCAUCUGGGAGAAUAGAGACUCUCCAAACAUUAUCAACUUGUUGAGAGAAAGCUAUAACCUUUGAUGCAAUAUCCUGGUAAAUUAGGUUUUAUAACUUUUCAGCAAAAAAUGAAACAUAUCAUGAAAGCUUUUGUAAUAGUGAUUCAACAUUAAUUACUUCUCCUAUGGAAACCACGAUCAUGUGUGGUGUGAAGCUCAUUCCAGAAGAUGAAGGCAUCAUCAACUCACCUAACCAAAACAAAAGCAAAAAUCUCAUUAAGUAUCCAUGUUCUUGAUCUAAUAAGCAACUUAAUACAUAGACAGAAAGUCUUACACUUUUCCCACGCAUCAAGGACACAUUAAAGAGUCCUGGUUCUUGAUUUCGGACAGAGUUUGUUUAACAGUGGAAGACAAUCUCUGUUUCUUGCCAGAGCCUGUAGGUUGACCACAGCCUCGUUUGCUAGAGGUGUUAAUGGUCAAAACAGAGGAAGACGGCAAUGCCAAAGAAACAGAACCGUCUUGUCCGUAUUUUCUAAGCCGUUGUCUCUUACGUUUCAUCAGAGUUUCACCAUGAGGAGGAGGAGGAGCAGCAGCAUCAGUCGUAUGAACACCAACAUGAUGAGGAGAAGCUCCAGUUGCUGCUUCAGAAGGAUCACCAUGUAAAGGAUGAGAUCCGAUCGACUCAUAGAACCUCUCGCCGGAGCUGGGCCACACGAAGACUCCGUAACUGCUAGACGAUUUCUCCGUCUCUAUCAUCCUUAUUUCUUGUUCGUCGUCAUCGAAAUGAUGCUUGAGAGCAAUAUUAAUUUUGAGCCUGCAAUUCUAAGAAAAGGCCUUAAGAGAGCUCACGGAGCCAUGGUGUUUGAAGGCGUAUCCAAGACAAUUACACAUUUCAAAAUGUUCUUAUUUCCUUGAUUAAACUCUUUUUUUUUUUUUUUUAUCUUUUUGAGUUGCAUUUAUAAAAUAUCCUAAAACGAAUAAAACUGUCUAAUUUAUUACUUGUCUUUUUAAUUACAUUAAUGAAACAUGCUUAAAUGAAUUUAAACUUCCUAUUUUAUUGUUUGUUUUUUCAGUUGCCUUAAUGAAAUAUCCUUAAAUAAAUUUAGACAUAAUGUCAUUUAAUCAACAAAAAAAACUCAUGAGUUAUCCUUACGUGCAUAAUUUUAAUAAAGGAGAUUUUUAAAAACAUGCAUCAUUAAACAAUCAAUUUAAAUUGUUAUUGUCAUUGAAUAUAAUUAUUUUUGACAUAAUUUGAGUUUUCGUUUACAUCAAAACUUAUCAUAUUUUAGGAUAAUUUUAAUUUAAAAUGUAAUUUUCAUAUUUUUCAAACAAAUUCUAAAAAUAUUUUUUUAAAUAUUUUGUUAUAAUUGUUAAAAAAAUAUUGAGUUGCAUUUCAAAUAAAAAGGUAAAGAUAUUAAAAAUAUUCUAAUUAAAAUAUGUAAAAUUUAAUAUAGUUUUAAGAAAAUGGUCAAAAUAAAAAAAAUUACGCAUAAAAUAAUCAUGAUUUUUGUUAACUGAGCGGAUCAUUAUUUAUAUGAUAUCGCACACGAAAUUUUUUUUUUCUGUUUUUAAAAUUAUCUAAUUAACUCUAUACUCAUUUUUUUAUAUUUUUUAUAUGAUAUCACACAUUCGUAAAAAAUAGAUAAUUUAAGAUGCAAAAAAAAAUAUUUACUUAAUGAAUAUAAUAUGAACGAAUAUUACAAAUACUUCAUUUAAUAAAAUAAAUAAUUAAAAACUGAAAAUUCAUAUCCGCACUAGCGCGCAGGUCAGGGUCUAGUUUAUGUUAACAGAAACUCCUUCCACGAGUUUCUUAAAAAGAAAUAUAUCUAUAUUAUUAAAAGAGAAGUACCUAUUUAAAAAUGUUCUUACUUCAUUAGUUAAACUCCUUUUUUUGCUUGUUUUUUUUCAGUUGCAUUUAUGAAAUAUCCUAAAACGAAUAAAACUGCCUAAUUUAUUACUUGUCUUUUCAGUUACAUUAAUGAAAUAUGCUUAAAUGAAUUUAAACUUCCUAUUUUAUUGUUUGUCUUUUUCAGUUACCUUAAUGAAAUAUCCUUAAAUAAAUUUGGACAUAAUGUCAUUUAAUCAACCAAAAAAACUCAUGAGUUAUCCUUACGUGCAUAAUUUUAAUAAUGGAAAUUUUUAAAAACGUGCAUCAUUAAAAUGUUACCUAAAACAUGCAGCACUAAUAUAUAACAUGCAUCAAUAAAACUAGAAUUUGACUCACACAAUUGUACGGAUAUUAUUUUCAGUUGAUUAAAUUUAAAAAUAAUUAUUUAUUCAAAAAAUAUUUAAGAAUGGCUAUGUUUUUAAAAAUUAUAUGGUAUUAUUUGCUCAUAACUCAUUUGUCAUUUGAUAAAUUGUUAGAAAGAAAAUUUUAGCAUAAUAUAACUCAGUUGUCAUUUGCUAAAUUUAUGGUUUUUAUUUAUAUUUUUUAUUAUUUAAUUAUAAUAUUUUCAUUUUAUAUUUGAAAGAUAAAUGAAUUUUCUUCCAAACAAUAUUUUUGUAAAUGUAUUUUUUUAAAAAAUAAUCAAUUAAAAUUGUUAUUAUCAUUGAAUAUCAUUAUUUUUGACAUAAUUUGAGUUUUCGUUUACAUCAAAACUUAUCAUAUUUUAGGAUAAUUUUAAUUUAAAAUGUAAUUUUCAUAUUUUUCAAACAAAUUCUAAAAAUAUUUUUUAAAUAUUUUGUUAUAAUUGUUAAAAAAUAUUGAGUUGCAUUUCAAAUAAAAAGGUAAAGAUAUUAAAAAUAUUCUAAUUAAAAUAUGUAAAAUUUAAUAUAGUUUUAAGAAAAUGGUCAAAAUAAAAAAAAUUACACAUAAAAUAAUCAUGAUUUUUGUUAACUGGACGGAUCAUUAUUUAUAUGAUAUCGCACACGAAAGAAAAAUUUAUGUUUUUAAAAUUAUCUAAUUAACUCUAUAAUUUUUUUAUAUAUAUUUUUUAUAUGAUAUCACACGUUCGUAAAAAAAUAGAUAGUUUAAGAUGCAAAAAAAAAAUAUUUACUUAAUGAAUAUAAUAUGAACGAAUAUUACAAAUACAUCAUUUAAUAAAAUAAAUAAUUAAAAACUGAAAAUUGAUAUCCGCGCGCCAGCGCGGAUCAAAGUCUAGUGUGUAUUAUUUUUGUUAGCAAUCUAUAUUAGAUGAAUACCAUUAGCAUAUGUUGUAAUUCUUAGCAAUCUAAAAGGUUAGUAAAAUUAGAAGCUGCUGAAAAGAGUCGUGGUGAUGCAACGUAAACAAAAAUGGCAAACUUGUGAAUAAACUAUUAAACCAAUGUUAGUCUCGUAAAAUGUUCUAAUAAGCCUAGGAUAUAAUAAUUGUAAGACUUUUUUGCUUCAGCACCGACUUUUUGAGUGGUUUGCCUUUUUGCUGAAGCAUUGAGUUUUUGACCGGUUUGAAAACGCCGAUUAAACAUCCACCGCAUACCCGCUUUAAAACAGGGAUUUUUAUAUAUAGAUAAGUGUGCACUUGUUCAAAAAAAAAUAAUAAUAAGCGUGCUGGAACAUUAAGCCCAAAAAGAUAUGAACCGCACUGGUUGGAAACAUUUAUAUAUGUCAAAAAAAAAAUAUUAACAAUAAAGACACCCAAUUUGUCACCGUUACGACAAAAUAAAGUUUGACCAAUUUUAAAAAAAAAUGUUUUUGACCUCGCAGUCUUGUGUAGUACACAAAUGUUACAAAGCUCCUGCAGGCUUCUCAUCACACACAUACUAUUAAACCCAUUUUGGUUCUCAUAAAAAUAUUCCCUCUGAUGACUCCUACCCAAACCUCACCCCCCAAACAAGCUUAUCUUACGACUCAAACCCCACCCGACUUUAACACAGAAGAGAAGACUCAAACUCAGACCAAUUUAACCAGUGCCCCCACCACAGACUCUUAAACCUCCUUUCACUCUUCAAUUCAAUCAGCUCCUGUUGAAACAAAACCAAACUCAAAGAAUUACACAAAAUACAUAUUUACUAUUAACUUCCCAGUCUAAGACAUUUGGACAGGAUUAACUAGUCCUAAAGUAUUGAGUAUUUAUUUAUUACCUUCACUGGAAGUUGAAUCCACCUGGCGGUGCGGCUGCAUCAUUACCGCCAAACUGGAAUCCCUGAGCAGAGACGUCACCUGGUGGUAGAGUCUCGUCUUCCUCUUCCAACCAGUAUGUUUCAAGAAUCUUCACUGCCUUCUCAUAGAUUUCGCUGUUGUCAUGACUCUGCAGAUUCUCAAUCUUUUCUAAUCCCUCUGCAUCAUCGAUCAACUGGGCAUAAAAGUUUACAUCCCCGGUAUUUCCCGUCAACUUCUCAGCUUCUCCGACCUUCAGAAUGUUCUCCAAUCCUUCUAGACACACGGUGAUAAUCCUCGGAUCGGGGCAUAUCAAAAGAUCACACAGUGGCUUCACGACUCCCUGAUCCACCAUGUACCUAAAGCACGGAACAGAGGGAAGUUUUAAGUGAUCGUUUGAAAAGAGAGAUCUAACAAAUAUUUCAAAGGAGGCUGAGAUCCAAAGAAGAGGGGGCUGAUAUCGAAUAAUCAUACUUGAUUUGGUCGGGAGAACCUCCCGAAGUCGCAUUGGAUACUGCCCAUGCAGCUUCUUUCUUUAUAUCGAACUCUGCAUUUUGAAGCAGGUUGACGAGAGGGAAUAUCAAACCAGCUUCACAUACCGCCUGCAUCACAGAACAUAAACACACAAAAUUUCCAUCAAACAACGAAAGCCUUCUGAAACUGAUAAGCUGAACAAAAUAAAUCUUGGGCGAAAGUUCACCUGAAUCUGGUCCUUGUUUCCAGCAGUGAUGUUUGAUAUUGUCCAGCAAGCUUCCUUUUUAAUGCUCUUCUUAUGGUUAUGAGUCAGAAGGCUCAACAAGCUAAGGAGUGCACCAUGACUAAUUACACACUGCAGGGAAAAAAAUUCAUCAGCUCAAAACCAACCAAAAAACAGUUAUGCAAUAAACGGUUAAAUUCUUGAGACCUACAGAGGAUUAUAGGCCUAAAAUGAUGAACACAUACAUCUAAAAGAGACAGAAUACCAGAAAUUAUGUGCAGUAUUAUUUGAGCUAUGUGAAAACAUGCAUGGUACUAGGUAGACAAAUUUUAGAAAGAAAUGAUCGACCUCUUUUUCCAGAGGUGCACAUAAUAUUCUCAAGUGAAUUAAUCUGAUGAGUAGAAAGUAACUUUUGAGAACCAAAAAUAAUUAUCAUAUAGUUCACAUUCAGCUGAUAAGCCAGUGAUGUCCCAUUCUUCCCAUUAAUGUUGUAGGACGAGUGGAACAUGUAUGCUGAGAGAAAUGACUGAAAGAAUAAGAAUACCUGUGUCUGUGCAUCAUCUCCAGUGACGAUGUUACCGAUAGUUCGAAGAGCAGGAAUAAGCACAGACGGUGAUGGAUGCCUACAGCAAGCCAAAAUUCAUCAUCACAUAAUCAUGUACAAAAACAAGGUGGAUUACAGGAUUGAAAAGACUCACUCGAGAAGCUCGACAAGUCGGGGAACAACACCUGCCUGAAUAACAGAUUGGAUUUUUUCAUUGAUGCCGUCAGAAAGAUAAGAGAGGGCCCAACAGGCAUCCGUUAACACUUCCUCAUCAGUCGAAUGAAUCAGGCGCUCAAGGGCUGGAAGAGCUGGACUAACCUGUUCUUACGAGAUCACAGAAGUGCCUUGAUCAAAUAAGGAAGAGAAGAAUAAGACAGAAAUGAGAGACAAACCUGCUCAAACGGAGGCUGUGGCUUGCCCCUGCAGAAAUUAGAGAGGGUCCAAGUAGCAUUUCUGAGCAUGGAGAGUUUAGCACGCUCAUUCAACUGAGAGAGCAAUGGUAACAAAGCUCCCUGACCAAGGACAAGAUCUCUGCACCGUGGAGAAUCACCCGCAACAUUCCCUAACGCCCAGACAGCCUAAGACGAAGAAAAUAUACUUUAACAACAUACUUGGUCUCGAAUAUUAAUGAAGAAACAUACUGUACCUGCUCACGGACAUCAUCACUCUGAGAAGCCAAGAGUUGCACAAAAAUGGGAACAGCACCGUGUUCAAUGACAACCUUCGUAUGUUCUGAAGUCCCAGAAGCAAUGUUCGUCAAUGCCCAAGCAGCCUCAAACUGAAGCCACACACAAAGCAUUAAGUUUCAGAUGAUAAUUGCAGCAAAUGUGAGAGAGAUAACACAAACCUGAAGCUGUGGAUAAUCGUCCCUGUUGAGAAACUCCACAAACCUUGGCACAACACCAGCAGCUAUCACCUCUUCGAUAGGAGGACUUCGCUCUACCAAAUCAAAACAAAAGGCAUCCAUUCAAUUUCAAGAACACGCCUAGUAAAAUCCAAACUACACAGAUACCAGCAAAAUCACCUAUGGAAAGCAGUUUCCUGAACUGAGUAGUUGCUUCAAGCUGUAAGUUCCUAUCCUCUGACCACACUCCACCAACCAUAGACGGCAAGCUCUCCAACUUAAUCAACAAUCAAAAACGAUCUAAUCAGUUCUAAAACCCUAGAAAUCGAAUCGGUUCCAGAUCCAUAGUGAUUCUAUACCUUCUUCUCGACGGAUGUAGCGGAAGCAACGGAGGAAGGAGCGAAUUGAGGCUGCUGUGUGGAUUGAAGACCUUCGCGACGCUUCUUGAGCAAGCUCUCUUCGCGCUUCGUUUUACGGAUCUCGACCAUGUUGUCUUCUCUCCUCCUUCGUCCUUCCUCGGCGUCCACCGCCACUUUGUAGCGGUUACGGCGAACCUCAGUCCUCGCGUUGGGUCUCAGAGACAUGAUGGCUACUGCUCUUCUUGGUGAACGAAUGUGAGAGGAGAGGAGAGAGUGUUAGAAUAGAAUCGGCGGAUAUAUAGAGAGAGAGAGGGAAUCAACCCUAGGCGAAGCAGAGGGGAACGAGAAAAGAGGAAAAGUUACAGAGAUUGAAAUUUCGUUUGGUUUACAAAAUACAUUUUUUUAAUUUUAUUUGAUUUCGUUACAGAGACCCAGUUGACUUGUCGACACUAGUCUAUUUAUUUUACCAUAUCGUACAGCUAAUUUUGUUAUUUAAUACUCCCUCGGUUUUUACAAAUAUUUGUAAGUAGUUUUAGUUAAAAAUGUGAAUAUUAAAAAAAAAAUUAUUUUGAAGAAAUAGCAUUUAAUACAUAAAUUCAACCAAUAAUAAAAAAUUAUGAAUUAUUUGAUUGGUCACACAACAUAUAAUAAAUGUAAAAGGUGCUUUGGAUUAUGUAAAUAUCUUACAUUGUGAAACAAACAUUUUUUACUAAAACUACUUACAUAUCAAAACAGAAGGAGUAAAAAACUAGGUCAAACACCCGCGCCGGGUUAAGAUUUUAAUUUUAUAAACAUAAAAUAUUUUUUUACAUCAUCCAUACAAAUAUUCAAACAUAAUAAUGUUAUAUUUUACAUGUUUGUCAUCUAAUUGAUUGUUUCACCAUCACAUUUAUUUGUAGAUUCUUAUUAUAUAUUUAUCUCAUUGGAUUUGCGUUUAAUUAUAAGACGACUUAAUAUUUUUUUUUAAAUAUGCAAAGUUUAAAUGAUUGAUAUACUUUUGUAUUGAAAUCAUAUAUUAUUUAAAUAUCAUAUCUAAAAGUAUAAUUAACAAAAAGUAAUAAAAAUAAUUUAUUAAUUUAAUAAUUUAUUGUAUUUUAUGACAAUUUUACAAUAUUCAACUACAUCAUUUGAUGAAUAAAUAUUUUACUCUUUUAGAUUUUCUGAAAGUUGUAAAGGUAAAUCUAUAUUCAAUUAGUAUGGAUAAUUAAAUAUUUGGAGUUUUAAUUUAAUGGAAAAUCUAACUUGAUUUCGUGUAUCAAGAUUUUUUAAUUAAAUAUAUGGAAACAAAAUGAAGAUUUUAUGGUAUUUUAAGAUAGCGAUUUCUUUUAUAGGUUAAUCAAUAUUUUCUAUGGUAUAUCAUAUUUUUCACUUAGGGGUGGACGUUUGGAUAUUCAUUCGGAUUUGGUUCGGGUAUAUUCUAAUUUUGGGUUUCUCGGGGUUAAAACUUUUAGUCUUAUUCGAGUAUUUAUAAAUUUUCAUUCGGUUGGUUUAGAUAAACCCAUUUAAAUUAUUUUUAAAAAAUUAAAAUUCAUAUAUACUUUUAAUUUUAAAAAAAAAAAAAAUUAAAAUAAUAUAUUACAUAUAAAUUUUAAGAAACUAUACUAAAAUACCUAAAUUUAACUUAAAAUUGGUUUACCUUGAAUAUUUGGAUAGAAAAUCAAUAUAUAUUUCAAGUGUUUUUAGUGUUUUAAGUAUUGUUCGACUAUUUUAGAAAUUUAUUUUUGACUAUUUAUAUAUACUUUCAAAUAUUUUGAACAACUUUAAAAUAUGUUAUAUAUUUUAGAUAUUUCUUUUAUAUACUAAAUCUAAAAAUAAUUAAUAUAUUUAAGUAAAUAAAAUUAUUUUGGAUACCUAAAAUAUUUAUGUUCGGGUCGGGUUUGAUUUCAGUUUUCUAAAUACCAAAAUUUUGAACCGUUUGGAUAUUUUGCGGUUGGAUUUGGUACUAUUUUUUCAGAUCAGAAUCGGUUCGGUUUUUUGGAUUCGGGUAUUUAGCCCAGCCUUAGCUUCACUGGUAUUUUUUAUGUAAAUAGAUAAAAGAUGUUUGAAGUUGUUAUGGGAGAUCUAAAUUUAUUUAUUGUAUCUCAUUUUACCUUGGUAAGAUUUGGUUGAACAUGUUUUAAAUAGGAGAUAUGAAAGACUGAUAUUGCUUGAUACAUAUACCAAUUUUUUCUUGACUUGUUAACUGAAUGUGGGUGACUGUUUUGAUAUUUUAAUAUUCUAAAGGAAAUUUAUAUUAUAUAGUCUUUUAAUUUGUUUAUUCAUCUAAUCUGUUUGGUUUGAUUUUACAUUAUUCUCAUUUUGGAUGUAUACAAUAUAGUACAAAUAUGUAGAGCAUGUAAGUUUUCCGAGUACUUAAAAUAGUCAUGAUAUGAUACUGGGUAUAUAAUAUAAAUAAUUUUAUACAAAAAUAUGAGUAUGUUAAAUCAUUUACAAAGUUACCUUGAACCGAUUUGUUCAGUUAAUAAACAAAGGGUAAUAACUGGCAUGUUUUUUGGGCAGUUGCCAAAAAUUCCAUUUUCAAAGUAUCAUUUUUCAUAUUUACACUAACCACUUUUACCACCAUCUUUAAUGAAGGGUAAAAGAAAUUUAUAACCUUUUGAUUAACUUUGACAAAAAAAAACAUAAGGUUAACUAAUCUAAACUUAAAAAUCAACUCUAAACCCUAAAUCAUCAACUCUAAACACUAACUAUGAAACAUCAACUCUAAACCCUAAACCCCGAAACAUCAACUCUAAACCCUAAACCCUAAAACCUAAACAUUCAAAUCUAAACCCUAAAACACCAACUCUAAACCCUAAACAUAAACUCUAAACCCUAAAUCUAAACAUAAAACAUCAACUCUAAACCCUAAAUCAUCAACUCUAAACCCUAAACCAUGAAACAUCAACUCUAAACCCUAAACCCCGAAACACCAACUCUAAACCUUCAAAUCUAA
rnacentral:lncRNA from 1 species